rnacentral:rRNA from 1 species
AGCGAACGCUGGCGGCAGGCUUAACACAUGCAAGUCGAACGGGCGUAGCAAUACGUCAGUGGCAGACGGGUGAGUAACAACGUGGGAACGUACCCUUUGGUUCGGAACAACACAGGGAAACUUGUGCUAAUACCGGAUAAGCCCUUACGGGGAAAGAUUUAUCGCCGAAGGAUCGGCCCGCGUCUGAUUAGCUUGUUGGUGAGGUAAUGGCUCACCAAGGCGACGAUCAGUAGCUGGUCUGAGAGGAUGAUCAGCCACACUGGGACUGAGACACGGCCCAGACUCCUACGGGAGGCAGCAGUGGGGAAUAUUGGACAAUGGGCGCAAGCCUGAUCCAGCCAUGCCGCGUGAGUGAUGAAGGCCCUAGGUUGUAAAGCUCUUUGGCGGGGAAGAUAAUGACGGUACCCG